rnacentral:rRNA from 1 species
GACGAACGCUGGCGGCGUGCUUAACACAUGCAAGUCGAACGAAGUGGCGAACGGGUGAGUAACGCGUAAUCAACCUGCCCUUCAGAGGGGGACAACAGUUGGAAACGACUGCUAAUACCGCAUACUGAAGGAGGGGAUUGCGUCUGAUUAGCUAGUUGGAGGGGUAACGGCCCACCAGGGCGAUGAUCAGUAGCCGGUGUGAGAGGAUGAACGGCCAAAUUGGGAAUGAGACACGGCCCAGAAUCCUACGGGAGGCAACAGGUGGGAAAUUUCCGAAAUGGACGAAAGUCUGACGGCGCAACGGCGGGGGAGAGAUGACGGCCUUCGGGUUGUAAAGCUCUGUUAAUCGGGACGCGGUACCGGAAUAGAAAGCCCCGGCUAACUACGUGCCAGCAGCCGCGGUAAUAC